UUUAUAGUGUUUCCCACUAUGUCUGACCAAACUGGGAGCUCUUCACCCAAUAAGUGUGAGAGGCGCUCAAAGGUCCCACUUUCUCGCAAAUGCGGAGAAAUCUAGAGGGCGGAGUUUGUGGGGAAGGACCCAGGAACAAGGAUACUUCCUACCAAGAUCGUUUUUCCGAGCUGAUGAUAGAAAAUGUAGCUUAACAUUUUUCGUGGGGAGGAUGCUCAUCUCAACAUAUUAUCCCAUCAUUCAUCCUUAGGUCUUUUGUGGCCCAAAACAGCCUCCACACAGGCACAGACUUCUGGGUCACUAGAUCACUGGAUUUGCGGUCUCUUGACGUGUGAAAGCUGCAAGGGUAGGAGGUUUAGGGGCCUCAGAGUCAAUCUGAUAAGUCUCUAAGAUAGAAAAGUAAACAGUCAUAUAGGCAAGUCAGCCUAUGUCUGAACACAGGGAAUGGACCUAAGCCUGGGCAUAUAAAUUUGGGAGUUGUGAGCCCUAUGUGGUUGUUCACACUUAUAGUCCCAGCAUUCAGGAGAAUGAUGCAGGAGAAUUGCCAUAAACACCAUGGCAGCCUGGGCUACAGAGUUCUCCCUCCCCAUCUAUUCCCUCUUUCUUUUUUGAGAUAUAUAAACUCUAUACUCUCGACUUCCAGCCAGCCACGGCGAUGCUUUCCUGAGAUUUCAGCACUUGAGAAGUGGAGAUAGGAGGAUCACGAGUUUGAAGUCAUACUCAGCCCUAUAGUAAGUAUGACCAGAACCUGGAAGCAACCUAGAUGCCCCUCAACUGAAGAAUGGAUUAAGAAAAUGUGGUACAUAUACACAAUGGAGUACUACUCAGCAGAGAAAAACAGUGACAUCAUGGAAUUUGCAGGCAAAUGGAUGGAACUAGAAAAUAUCAUCUUGAGUGAGGUAACCCAGACCCAGAAGGACAAACAUGUUCCAAGCAAAUCUUCCUCCCCAGGCUUGUCUUGACUUGAAAAGAACAAGAAAUGAAUGAUUCCAAGGGGAGAGUGACCUUUGAGGACAUCACUGUGAACUUCACCCCAGAGGAGUGGCAAGGGCUGAAGCCUGAGCAGAGAAACUUGUAUAAGGAUGUGAUGUUGGAGAACUACAGCAACCUGGCCUCUGUGGAAAAAGACCAGGAUAUUGAAAGGCAAGUUAGGAUGAACAUAAAUUUGGAGAAAAGUCUCAAGAGAGGAGUUGUAUCCAUACACAAGAAAACAUUCACUAAGCAAAAAGGUACCGCACAUAAAAAGAUGUUUCUCCCAAGCAACGAUGAUGUUUCUUCAAGAUUGAGGCUCUCACAAUAUGAUCUAAUUGGAAAGCAUUUGAAACAUUGUUUUGAUAGGAAUCCUUGCAUAAAAAAUAAUUCUAAUGAAUAUAGAAAAUCAGUUAGCUCUAAUUCAUGGAAAUCUAUGAAAAACCAUUUUGAAUGUAAUGCCUGUGGAAAGUUACUCGAUUCGAAGCCACGCCUUCAGAGGCAUCUGAGGAUCCAUAAUAGGGAGAAAUCCUUUAAAUGUAAUGAAUGUGGAAGAGCAUUCAAAAUGCUGUGGAACCUGAAUAAGCAUCAGAAAAUUCAUCCAGAGAGAAAAGUCUAUAAGUGUGACGAGUGUGGAAAAGCCUACAGGCAGAAGACCAAUCUCGUUCAACAUCAGAAAAUUCAUACCAAAGAGAAACCCUAUAAAUGCCAAGCUUGUGGGAAAGCCUUCUUGUGGGUGUCAUCUUACAGUAAUCACAAGAAAAUCCACAAGGAUGAGAAAGCCUAUGAGUGCAAUGUAUGUGGCAAGUCCUUCAAACAGAACUCAACUUUUAGUCAACAUAAAAACACCCACAAGGAACAAAAGCCUUACAGAUGUAAGGACUGUAAGAAAUCUUUCAUUUGCAAGUCUGCUCUUGUGAAACACCAGAGAACACACACUGGAGAGAAACCCUACAAAUGUGGGCUGUGUGAAAAAGCUUUUGCCCAGAAAGCAAAUGCCAUCGAUCAUGAGAAAAUCCAUGCUGGGGUGAGGUCUUAUGAGUGUCGUCUCUGUAACAGGGCUUUUGUCCAGAAGAAAAACCUCACUCAACAUAAAAAAAUCCACACUGGAGAAAAAUCAUAUGAAUGUAGUAGAUGUGGGAAAGCCUUCUCUCUGAAGUCAAACCUUGGAGUUCAUCAGAAAAUUCACAGUGGAGAAAAAGCCUAUGCAUGUAACGAAUGUGGGAAAUCUUUCAGCCGCAAAGAACACCUUGAUUUUCAUAAAAAGCUCCACACUGGGCAAAAACCUUAUAAAUGCUCUGAGUGUGGAAAAGCCUUUGCUGACAAGUCAUACCUUAGUGGUCACCAGAAAAGAAUUCACACUAGAUAGGGACUCUGAGCACUUCAAAUACAUGGAAAAUACAUUUAUGGGAUGGCAUGGGAUAGUCAUCCCAAAAAUUGACGCAAAACGGCCUACACUUUUCAGUCUAUCACAGAAAACACGGAGGACUUAAACUCACUGAGACCAUCCUUUGAGGACAGGUUUAGCUCAUUCCUUCAUAGAUAUUUGUUUUGUCUUUUUAAAAUGUAUAUGUUUCCAUAUAUGUUUGUCAUGCGUGUAAAGAUGCCUAGUGGAGCCAAAUGAUGACAUCAGGUCCCAUGGUGUUGCAGGUGGUUGUGAGCUGCCUCAAUGGGGUGCUAGGAACCAACUUUAUUCCUCUGGGAGAACAUAAUAUGUCCCUAAAUGCUGAUUCAUCUCUCCAGGCUCAUGUUUCACUUUAAUAUUUUAUUUAUACAUUUUAUGUGUUUGUGUGAGCAUUCUGUGUUGCCUGCAUGUAUGUCUGUGCCACACGUGUGCCUGGUGCACAUGGAGACCAGAACACAUUGGAUCUCCUGGGAUGAAAUUACAGAUGGUUGUAACUGCCAUGUAGAUAAUGGGAAUGGAACCCAAAUCCUUGGAAGAGCAGAUAAUGCUAUGAGCUCUUCUACCAUCUCCAGCCACACUGUUUUUUUGAGAUGAAAUCUUGUUAUAUUUCCCAGACUGGACUGGAACUUCUGGGCUCAGGUGAUUCUCUUGCCUCAGCCUCCUAAGUAGCGGGGACUUCAGAUACAUGACACAUGUCUGCCACUCAGCAAACAUUUAUAAAGUGCCUUUUGACUAACAUGACUGAAGAGAUACCAAUAAACUAAAUCUGUCCAAAACUUUCAUGGAAUUUUUGUUUUUUUAUCAUGGAAUUUAUUGUAGUAAAAAGUAACUCAUGGUAGCCUUUUCUUUGAUAGUUGACAAUGUAUUUUGUAUGGAAGGGGUUUUUGUUGUUGUUGUUGUUAAAUAAAUAAAGUUGGAAUUCGAAGUGACACAGCAAAUAAC